UACGUAGGGUGCAAGCGUUAAUCGGAAUUACUGGGCGUAAAGCGUGCGCAGGCGGUUUCGUAAGUCUGGCGUGAAAUCUCCGGGCUUAACCUGGGAAUGGCGAUGGAGACUGCGAGGCUAGAGUUUGGCAGAGGGGGGUAGAAUUCCACGUGUAGCAGUGAAAUGCGUAGAGAUGUGGAGGAACACCGAUGGCGAAGGCAGCCCCCUGGGUCAAAACUGACGCUCAUGCACGAAAGCGUGGGGAGCAAACAGG
rnacentral:rRNA from 1 species